GGAAUAUUGCACAAUGGGGGAAACCCUGAUGCAGCCAUGCCGCGUGUGUGAAGAAGGCCUUCGGGUUGUAAAGCACUUUCAGUAGGGAGGAAAGGGUGUAACUUAAUACGUUAUAUCUGUGACGUUACCUACAGAAGAAGGACCGGCUAACUCCGUGCCAGCAGCCGCGGUAAUACGGAGGGUCCGAGCGUUAAUCGGAAUUACUGGGCGUAAAGCGUGCGCAGGCGGUUUGUUAAGCGAGAUGUGAAAGCCCUGGGCUCAACCUAGGAAUAGCAUUUCGAACUGGCGAACUAGAGUCUUGUAGAGGGGGGUAGAAUUCCAGGUGUAGCGGUGAAAUGCGUAGAGAUCUGGAGGAAUACCGGUGGCGAAGGCGGCCCCCUGGACAAAGACUGACGCUCAUGCACGAAAGCGUGGGGAGCAAACAGGAUUAGAUACCCGUG
rnacentral:rRNA from 1 species